CUCAAACAAACAGAAGUCCUCUGAUGAUCUCAUCAGCCAAAUGAGGGGUUUUGACCAAGUGAUGCUCUUGAAAGGAGUGAAAGAAGAGGAUGUGCUAAAUUCUCUUCAGAGAAAAAGCUUCUCAAAAGGUCUCAAAACAGCUUGAAGAAUGGUCUGGGAUCUUAGGACUGAGAGAUCCUCUGGCUGAGAGAAGCUACACCACAUCAGUGCUGGAUAUCAGCCACAAACUGUUUCUAGACACGAGAGAAGAAGAACAUGAUGGGGAGAUGAAACCAGUUUAGAUGUGAUGAUGGGAAUCAUUAUUUUCUGGAACAGUAUCACAUGUCUUAUAUAUAUCACAUGAUCUGUAUCACAGUUGACUGGAUGGGACUGUGUGACUUUUAAGGACAUUUCAUCACUCAUCUGUGUGAACUGAUUUAUAUAUGAGGUUAAUGUAUUUUUGAUGAUAAUUAUUUUCAUUGAAUCUUAUUCGUCUUGAUGCUACUUUAUCAACUUUAUAGUCUAUGCUUCAAUAAAAUGAAAAUGGUGAA